AAAUUGAAGAGUUUGAUCAUGGCUCAGAUUGAACGCUGGCGGCAGGCCUAACACAUGCAAGUCGAGCGGAAACGACAACAUUGAAUCUUCGGAAGAUUUGUUGGGCGUCGAGCGGCGGACGGGUGAGUAAUGCCUAGGAAAUUGCCUUGAUGUGGGGGAUAACCAUUGGAAACGAUGGCUAAUACCGCAUAAUGCCUACGGGCCAAAGAGGGGGAUCUUCGGACCUCU
rnacentral:rRNA from 1 species